UCAGUUUGGUAGCCAUUUCAAUGUAACAGUCUGAAAUGCAACGAUUUUAACGGAUGCUUAUCGCCUCUUGAUAAGCACAUGUGCACACACAGCAACCCCCAUCCCCCACCCCUAACCGCUGACUGACUUUUUUGAACUCCAGCCCACCAGUGACUUUAACCGUCACUGUUCUGUCAUGUAUCUGACUGCAUGUGUAAGCUGUAGAAACUGUGCCGUUAUCAUAUCCAAGUCGGUGUGUUGUGAGGACUGCUGCCCUGAGAACGCUGAGUGCAUUCUGGAAUAUUCCAAAUGUGUGCCACUUCCAUACUGAAUAAGUUCCAAGCCCACAAGAGAGUUCACUCACCAGGGCAAUGCCAGUCCGUCUGGAUGGCACUACCUGCUACUUGAUGAUGUCUGAUAGCCAUGGCUGCUGCCUUCAACGUGGUAGCCCUCACAAGUAAACUGAUAUCAAGACUUAACAUAGAUGGUGAUGGUGGCAAGGGUGCCUUCUGAAGGUGCUAUCCAGCAGUCCCAGUCUGGAGCCAGAAGCUGCUAUUGCAAGUCAGAUGGGGGAGGAAAGGUGGUGCAAGCAAGAAGGCAAGAGCUGCUGCAGGCAAUGUUGCAAUGUUGAAGAUGCUGUCUUCAGCGAACCACCCUGACCCGAAUAAUGGACACCAUGGGAAGAUAUUUGAAGUAUGCACCGGAGAGGGUGGGUGGUGGUGGCUGUCGGAAGACACUCCCUGCUGUUGCUGAAUGAUGCCAUCGGUAUACAUAUGCACAGCCUCUCGCACCACAUACACCUGAGUUUGGAUAGAUCAUUUAUGUUGUAAAACAUAAAACAAAAUAAAAUAAUGUAAAAAAAUAUAUAAGUUGACUGGUUCUUGAUGGAGGUGUUUAUCAUUUUUGUGUGUGAUAGGCCUA